UGUGUGUGUGUGUGUGUGUGUGUGUGUGUGUUCAUGAGUAUGAGUUCAUCUGUUUACUAUUGAUCCUGAGGCAGGAUCACACCAGCUGCACCCACAGGAGGCUGUGCUGCCGCUGUGCUACUGCCUGAGGUGAGACGGUCUGUAAUUACGCAUCGGAGAUCCGAGACUCUCUUGGCACACCGCACACAAGCAGGAGCUGCUCUCCCUGCCAGAGCACUCAUUUAACGGCAGAAAGGCAAAACAGACCACCUAGUGAAACUUGCACUCUCCGCUAUGAUUCCUUACUCUUAGUCUCUUACUUUUUCCCUGUUCCUCCUCUCCGCUAGCUAUUUAGCACCACUCGAAGAAUAUUGUUGGUUUACUGUUGUUGUUUUUUCCAAAAGAAAUGUAAACAAACCUCAGUACUCAAGGUACACAUCUGUAAUCAAAUUAGAGGAACAUAAAAAUUGCAGGAUGCUUAUAUUGAAAGAGCAACUGUAAAGAGGGAAAAUUGAGCUUCAAAUGUUAGCAUUGUGAGCAAAUCAAAUCCCUUUCAGUGUAAUUUUAAUUGACACAUUAGUGACGGUUAGUACAUGGAGUGCCUCCAGACCACUAGGAAUUCAGUUCAAAGUGGUCUAUUAAAUGUCUGACUAAUGUAUUACAUCAAGCAAUGAAUGAUAUGUGCUUCCCCUCCUUAUCUGUGCAAUGGUUUCAUAUUCUUUUACCUUUUUGUGUUUUUUUUUUUUCUCAUAACAGUGUGUAGGUGCACAGGUGAUCUUUAGAAUGAUGUGUAGACCCACAGACCCAGAAACCAAGACCCACGGGAACACAGACACACACACACCUGAGAAAUCUUUACCUCUGGAAAAGGGGGACAUUUGCAAAGGAAGUGGAAAUUUCUGUCGGAUCGGAACAAGGAAAUAUGAAGUCGGAUAUAUCCAUCCUUUAAGCUCUCAGACACAGCAUCAGAUAACACAGGAAUAUGUCUGGCCUUGAUGUUGUCCCCCGUCACCGUCAUCUGUGACCUCGUCUCCAAGUCACUCCUCUACUUCCAUCUGAAUCACUCCUACCAAAACAUUUCUGUUUGCUGAUUCACCACUUCAUUUGGGCAGGAAGAGAUGGGUCUCCAGCUGGAAUACUGGCCAGCCAGCCAAGGCAAUCGA